rnacentral:rRNA from 1 species
CCUACGGGAGGCAGCAGUGGGGAAUAUUGCACAAUGGGGGAAACCCUGAUGCAGCGACGCCGCGUGAAGGACGAAGUAUUUCGGUACGUAAACUUCUAUCAGCAGGGAAGAAAAUGACGGUACCUGACCAAGAAGCCCCGGCUAACUACGUGCCAGCAGCCGCGGUAAUACGUAGGGGGCAAGCGUUAUCCGGAUUUACUGGGUGUAAAGGGAGCGUAGACGGCCAUGCAAGUCUGAUGUGAAGACCCGGCGCUCAACCCUGGGAGUGCUUUGGAAACUGCCGGGCUGGAGUGCCGGAGAGGCAA